rfam:Medicago truncatula strain A17 chromosome 5, whole genome shotgun sequence.
UCCAUAAUUAAUAAAAGGUAUGUUUAGGUCCCUUAACUUUAUUUAAAGUAUCGGUUUGAUCCCUUCUGUUAAUUUAAUUCAAAAAAACGUUAAGUUUAGGGACCAAAUUAAUACUAAUUAAAUAAGUUAAGCGAUCAAAAUUUAACGUUUUUUUUAAUUAAAUUAACAUAAAGGACCAAUCCGAUACUUUAAAUAAAGUUAAGGGACCUAAACAGAUCUUUCAUUAUUUAUGAAA